AUGUACGACGAGUACACUCCGGCUCCUCCGCGCCGUCCGCACCCGUCUGACGGCCGCUCGCUACGUUUUGUUAGCG
rnacentral:sRNA from 2 species